rnacentral:rRNA from 1 species
UACGGAGGGUGCAAACGUUGCUCGGAAUCAUUGGGCGUAAAGCGCACGUAGGCGGCCUGAUAAGUCGGGUGUGAAAGCCCUGGGCUCAACCCAGGAAGUGCACUCGAAACUGUCAGGCUUGAAUAUGGAAGAGGGUCGCGGAAUUCCCGGUGUAGAGGUGAAAUUCGUAGAUAUCGGGAGGAACACCAGUGGCGAAGGGGGCGACCUGGCCAAUAUUGACGCUGAGGUGCGAAAGCGUGGGGAGCAAACAGG